GACGAACGCUGGCGGCGCGCCUAACACAUGCAAGUCGAACGGAGUCAAGAGGAGCUUGCUUUUCUUGACUUAGUGGCGAACGGGUGAGUAACGCGUGAGUAACCUGCCCUGGAGUGGGGGACAACAGUUGGAAACGACUGCUAAUACCGCAUAAGCCCACGGAUCCGCAUGGAUCUGCGGGAAAAGGAUUUAUUCGCUUCAGGAUGGACUCGCGUCCAAUUAGCUAGUUGGUGAGGUAACGGCCCACCAAGGCGACGAUUGGUAGCCGGACUGAGAGGUUGAACGGCCACAUUGGGACUGAGACACGGCCCAGACUCCUACGGGAAGCAGCAGUGGGGGAUAUUGCACAAUGGGGGAAACCCUGAUGCAGCGACGCCGCGUGGAGGAAGAGGGUUUUCGGAUUGUAAACUCCUGUCGUUAGGGACGAUAAUGACGGUACCUAACAAGAAAGCACCGGCUAACUACGUG
rnacentral:rRNA from 1 species